CCCCUUCAAAAAUCGUGCGCCGGCGCCUAUAUCGGCGCUGCCGGGUUCGCCCGGCUAUGGCGAUAAAGUGUUGCGUGCAAUAGGCGCAGCGGACCCGGGGGCAGUACCCGGCGGCUCCACCACUUAAGCCGAGCGGCCAGCACGCGUGAAGCGUGCCGGCCGAGCGGCUCAGCUGAUGGGGCCGAACCAGGAUCGACGUGUGUUGAAAAGCGCAGCUUUCGCCCGGAAUGGGACCACCGCAACGGCCCAUCACACAAGUGCCAACGAUAACGAGGCGCUCGCGAUUGCUGCGUAACUGAAGCCUCACGGCUAAGGUUACAAAGUCAAAAGCGCGGUCGGGCCGCACCGGGCAACAGAAGCGGACACC
rnacentral:tmRNA from 1 species